AUGGACCUUAAGGAGCUGCAGCCUUUCUCCUCAAAGCGUGGGCCCUGGCAGCAGGAGCUUGUUAACCACGCAGCGCCCGAGGACCCCCUCAACCUGUGUGUGAGCGCAGUUCUUAGAUGCUGGCAGAAUACAGACUUCCAGUGCAGUGGGCAGCGUUUGCCGCCCAAAUUCCGCAGGGUGAUGCCCUGUGCCCAGAGGGAUUGCUGCACACAGGAGAGGAGCACUGCGCUGGGGAGUGCGCCACGUCGUAGAACCAGCAAGCUAGCCCGCUCUUCAGCCCAGAGCGGGUGGCACCUCAUCCUUCUAGGCUGCUCGUGGCGAGCACAACCUGGAGACGUGGGCCAAGUGAACUGCAGUGGGCUUUGCGUUCUUGGCACACCCAGCAAGAUGAGAAGCACUUGGCAGUUGUCAGUCCCUGCACACCUCCGUGGGCCUUUGUGCAGGGGUCCUGGGCUCUACGCUGGGGACUCUGCUCCCAGGGCUCUGUUCACCCCUCUCCCAGGGCUCCCACUCUGGAUGCAGCCUCUUUUGCCAGGCCCAGUCCCCACCCAGUAACUUCUGCUUGUCCAUCCGUGUGAGCUGUGCCUUGUGUGCAAGUUCAUCAUCGCCCCGGCUUCCAAAGGGGUGAAUACUGGAGAGUUCCUGGGCUUUAUGUACAGUGCACAGAUGUCCAUACAAUACAGAAACAGAUGGACAGCGUCUCCCUACAGGCUUAAACUUUCAUGAUGGGUGAGUGGGAACACAACGUCUCCAAAUACCUCUUGUGGAGGAGAUAAUAAUGAAAAGAAGGUUGGGAAAGUCUCAUCUAAGGUGUUACACAGGCCACUGUGCUGCGUCUCGUGUUCAGAGUCUGGGGUUAGGGAGUCACAGGACAAGAGCGAUCUUUGCAGAAAAAAGAACUGGUGGUUGGCUGUGAGGGAUAAGAGGGGAGGAACUGCUGCAUGAACAGUGCUUCUCGGAGCCAGGCACCGUGCUGGGCCCGGUGUCUGCAGUGCCUCCUUGCGGUCAUAUUUUCAUUUUCAGAUGGUGAAAUGAGGAGGAAAAAGCCACAAGCCUUGCACUGCAUAGCUGGAAAAGGGUCAAAUUGGGAUUUUUUUUUUUAAGAUUUAUUUAUGUAUUUGAAAGGCAGAAUUACACACACACACAGAGAGAGAGAGGGUAGGAGAGACAGAGAAAGAGUUCAUCCAUCUGCUGAUUCACUCCCCAAAUGGCUGCAGCAGCCAGGGCUGGGCCAAGCCAAAGCCAGAGCCAGGAGCUGCUUCCCAUGUGUUGCAGGAUCCCGAGCAUUUGGGCCAUCUGCUGCUUUCUCAGGCCAUUAGCAGGGAGCUGAAUUGGAAGUGGGGCAGUCAGGACUCGAACCAGUGCCCAUAUGGGCUUCGAGCCUACUCACUCUAAAGCAGAAUAUCCGUAUUCCUGCAGGAACCACCUGCCAGACAGGCGUGUUCUGAGUGAAUCACGGUGACCUCCCUGCCUACGUCUGAUGCCUGUAUGUGGCUGUCGAAGACACGUAUCUGGCUGUUUACCGUCCCCUGGACAUAGCUGGUAGAGUGACAGUUCUCCAAUGACAGCUUGGCCGGGAGGGAGGGUGCGGUGUCCAGGCAGCAGUGCUGAGUCAUGGAGCUCGGUCAGUGUGCCUGUUUUGAUGGAACCCACAGGGACUCUUCAGCUUAGAAAGAGCCAUCGAGUGCCCAGCUGUGUCUAGUUUCUGACACCCUGCCUCCUCAGUAGAACUCACAUUAUUUCAGUGCCUUCAGCAGUUCGCUUCUGGCAAGUUAGGAAUAGCCCUGAAAGUGAAUUUGGUGUGCCUUUCAAUAUGGUUGAGUGGCUUACAUAGAAAAGUCCCCUUUCCCAAAGUGUCUUAGACCAGUGAUGAAGAUGUUGUGAAGCUGCAAUGUCAAGUUCACUUGUGUAAUAAACAGGAUAAAAGAUCUAGUUCCUGGCA
ensembl:lncRNA